GAUGAACGCUGGCGGCGUGCCUAAUACAUGCAAGUCGAGCGAACAGACGAGGAGCUUGCUCCUUCGACGUUAGCGGCGGACGGGUGAGUAACACGUAGGUAACCUACCUAUAAGACUGGGAUAACUUCGGGAAACCGGAGCUAAUACCGGAUAAUAUUUCGAACCGCAUGGUUCGAUAGUGAAAGAUGGCUUUGCUAUCACUUAUAGAUGGACCUGCGCCGUAUUAGCUAGUUGGUAAGGUAACGGCUUACCAAGGCAACGAUACGUAGCCGACCCGAGAGGGUGAUCGGCCACACUGGAACUGAGACACGGUCCAGACUCCUACGGGAGGCAGCAGUAGGGAAUCUUCCGCAAUGGGCGAAAGCCUGACGGAGCAACGCCGCGUGAGUGAUGAAGGUCUUCGGAUCGUAAAACUCUGUUAUUAGGGAAGAACAAACGUGUAAGUAACUGUGCACGUCUUGACGGUACCUAAUCAGAAAGCCACGGCUAACUACGUG
rnacentral:rRNA from 1 species